AACCGCCGUAUGCGGACCCGAAUGUACGGUGGUGUAAGAGGACGGAGGUUAGGCGCCCCCUCCAACUCGAU
rnacentral:misc_RNA from 2 species